UUCAGCUGACAUCUUUAAUCACUGUGAAAAUGAAAGCGCACACGUCGUCCGGCGGACACGAUGAUUAGGCCACGAGGAUCGACACCUAUUUCGUUGACAGAAUAAUGGAAUAAUAACUCUACAGGUACUAAUCUAUCCGGAGGGUCGAAGGCUAUCAGCAGUGUCCGCGCAGAGGCCUUCAUUGACCAUACGAUGACUGUCAGGCGACUGAACGACCUCUAAUCCCUUCGCUCGGAUCCAGCUCACAUGUCUGCGCUCCAUUGAGAUUCGUUUGGUUAUUCAGUCAGAGCAACAAUUAAAGUGGAUCUCAGGAGGAGGAGGAUGAUGAAGAUGAGGGAACAAUGUGUCUGGCCGCGGCUGCUUUCACCAACCCCGCAGCAUUAGUCACUCUGUCAGCUGCUGUCUCAACACCUUCCUGUAGAUCCAUGCAUUCACACGGUGGAGUCCGGCCAACCGGUGUGACACGCCGAGACUAAAAUACAGUCACUCGCCCACUGACGGCUCCUAUUGUUGGGACUGGUAGAGGAGCAGCAGGUGAGUAUUUCACAGUAUGAGCUGUGCCAGUGAUGCGGGCCACAUCUAUAAUGAAUGGAUGGAGUGGCCAGACGUGUCUCAUCGAGGGUAAAGGAUGCCCGCAGAGGGAUCACUUCCCCGCUGCUUUAUUGCCACGAGUUUUAUUUAUGGAUUUGACAUGGUGCCGCUGGGCUGGAGGUGCAGGGAAACCGGGCCGCUGUUCAGCGCUGCACCAUCACAAUCUCCAAAAACGCAGUCAAACGAUCUGAGAGAACAUGACAAACACUCGCAUUACAAUAUGCAAACCCCUCAACCCCUCAAAACCCCUCAAAUAAGAUCAGCGAUCUCUCAAACUGUGCCACAGAUCACGGUAUGAACAAAUUCUUCCAAAACUAACUUUUUCCACAAUCCAUUCCAUCAUAAAAUAGCUGAUUUUUUUUUUUUUUGGACACUUUUUCCUGAUGGAAAUGCAUCAGAAGUAAGUUGUGGAAGUAAAAUAGCUCUCGGACAUUGUCUUGUGAGCUUUAAAAAGAGAAACCUCUGAGAAACUGUGAGAGUGAUCGAAUGUACUGAUGUUCAGGUUUCGCCUGGUUUUUGGGUCUUGUUGGUUUCAUCAGGUUUUGAUGGAUGUCAGAAUCCUCCGGUCUGUGGAUGGACUGUCCUCUGGGUUUUGUGACAGUAAGAGAACAAAUGACAGUCAGAGACGUGAAUGAAAGUAGACCAACUCCAGCAGUUCAUACAAACUACCAUAAAAAUCUUCAAAACUUCAAAAAAGAAAUUUCAUUCAAAGAACAAACCAUAACACAAUUUUUAUCAUUUUCAUAAUUUAUUCAUUUAUUUUACAUAAACAAUUAUAUAU